rnacentral:rRNA from 1 species
UACCAGCACCCCGAGUGGUCGGGACGAUUAUUGGGCCUAAAGCAUCCGUAGCCGGUCCUGCAAGUCUUCCGUUAAAUCCAGCUGCUCAACAGAUGGGCUGCGGGGGAUACUACAGGGCUAGGAGGCGGGAGAGGCAAGCGGUACUUUAUGGGUAGGGGUAAAAUCCGUUGAUCCAUAGAAGACCACCAGUGGCGAAGGCGGCUUGCCAGAACGCGCUCGAUGGUGAGGGAUGAAAGCUGGGGGAGCAAACCGG